CCCGCCACAUUAUUUAUGUAUGUGCCUGUCCCAAGUCAGGAGCCUGUAUAUUCAGUGGUUGUCGUUUGUUUAUGUGUUACAUAUUUGUUUUUCGUUCAUUUUUUUACAUAAAUAAGGCCGUUGGUUUUCUCGUUUGAAUUGUUUUACAUUGUCUUAUCGGGGCCUUUUAUAGCUGACUAUGUGGUAUGGGCUUUGCUCAUUGUUGAAGGCCGUACGGUGACCUAUAGUUGUUAAUGUCUGUGUCAUUUUGGUCUUUUGUGGAUAGUUGUCUCAUUGGCAAUCAUACCACAUCUUCUUUUUUAUAUUUC
rnacentral:lncRNA from 1 species